GGGCGGAUAGUUCAGUGGUAGAAUAUCUGUUUUGCAAUGCCUCGUUUUCGAGUGCUGCUCUUACAGAAGGUCCCGUGUUCAAUCCACGGUUCGUCCA